GGUACAGCUAAGUGCUGUACUAGACUCAGAAGGGGUUGGGUGACUCGGUCAAGGACGACUGGACAAGCAAUAAAUUCUGGAAGCAGGUUGAACUUUCAGUUUACUAACUACACUACUCUUCUGGCUUUCCUUCGCUGUCUUGUGCAGCGUCUGCCACAUGAGGGGCAGAAUGAUUGUUGGAGGCAACAAGGUGGAUCUGCUUACCUCCGCCCUGGGACACGGUGUCGCUGCUGGGGGGAUCGAUGCUCACUGAGGAUGGAGGAGGAGAGGCAGGCAGGCAGCCAAGCAGUCAGCUGGAGGAAGCCCUCAACCUCAGCUCAAGUGACGCCGUCACCUAAGAGGUCCCAGCAGGCCCCCGCAGAGACAGAGAGGGGGUGCGCCGCCCGAUGCUGGAGCCAUGUCCUCUCACAAAGGAACACAGGCCAUCGUCCCCCAAAGGUUGAAGAGGACAGCGGGUAAUGGAUAUUGUAGGCUUCAGUCUAUAACAGGAAAAACCGAGACCACCGCUGACAGUUGUUUAAUUGGGAGUCAGAUAUUCUGACGCUAAUCGUUGGGAGAAGUCCAAUAUCGCUUAAAGUACAUUAAGACCAAGUAACAAAAGGAAGUAGGAAUAACACUAUAAAAAGCUGCCCAUUCACUGGUGAAGCCACCUGAUGAAGUGAGACUGCUGCUUAUAACUGUAACUAAACUAAAUGAUCUGUAAAACAUAUCCAUGGCCUCUCUACCCCAAAACAUAACCGGCCGGAGGUGGAAAAUUGUCAUUAUAGAGUUGCCUUUGGGAAGACUACUGUACCUGGAACAGGCUUAUGAAAGGCAAACUCCCCGUGUGGGGCCACCUCAUCAGUCUGUGCAGCCUGCGUGUCAGAGACAGCCUGCUGUUGACUGCAGCUCUAACGAAUCAGUGGCAAUGUGGAAGGAAGGGGCCCGGUGAAGCCCUGCGGGGUCACCUGGGAGCAGGACAAUGAGUCUGGAAGGCCCCAAGCUCCCAAUGAUUUAAUCACUGUAUGUGACAUGUUCAGCCAGUGGCAUCAGUGGGAGAUACAGUAGUUUGCUCACUGAGGACUGAGCUGUGAUACUGCAGCAGGAGGUGUUGUGUGGUUAAAAUGUUCAUAUUGUUGUAUUGAGAGUCAAGAAUGAAAAAAAAGCUGCUGUUUUAAAAAGAGUGAAACUGUUUCACAGAUGAGACUGUUAACCAGAGAUAACUUCUUGGCUUCUCUACACACAGACGUCACCUUUGACCUCUCCAAUUCAAACAGGGCCGGUGCAGGUUCGCCACCCUGCUGGCGUAUAAAUAACAGAGCGCACGUCCGAGACGAUCGCCUCUGGAGAGAAGCUACUGCAUCAGCGAGUUCUGCAACCCCAGUGACUGUUGCCCUCGCUGGGGGUUAAAGGUCAAUAAUAGAGCAAUUCCAAGUAGAAGAAUGUGUAACACUAUGGUUUGUGGCAGUGUCUGGGCUGGAAUUCACUUUGUGGGAGUCAAUAAACACAGGAUGAAGUACGGUACA
ensembl:lncRNA